UACGAAGGGGGCUAGCGUUGUUCGGAAUUACUGGGCGUAAAGCGCGCGCAGGCGGUCUUCCAAGUCAGUGGUGAAAGCCCGGAGCUCAACUCCGGAACUGCCAUUGAAACUGUUGGACUUGAGUACGAGAGAGGUGAGUGGAAUUCCCAGUGUAGAGGUGAAAUUCGUAGAUAUUCGCAAGAACACCAGUGGCGAAGGCGGCUCACUGGCUCGAUACUGACGCUGAGGUGCGAAAGCGUGGGGAGCAAACAGG
rnacentral:rRNA from 1 species